AGUGAACGCUGGCGGUAGGCCUAACACAUGCAAGUCGAACGGCAGCACAGUAAGAGCUUGCUCUUACGGGUGGCGAGUGGCGGACGGGUGAGGAAUACAUCGGAAUCUACUUUUUCGUGGGGGAUAACGUAGGGAAACUUACGCUAAUACCGCAUACGACCUACGGGUGAAAGCAGGGGAUCUUCGGACCUUGCGCGAUUGAAUGAGCCGAUGUCGGAUUAGCUAGUUGGCGGGGUAAAGGCCCACCAAGGCGACGAUCCGCAGCUGGUCUGAGAGGAUGAUCAGCCACACUGGAACUGAGACACGGUCCAGACUCCUACGGGAGGCAGCAGUGGGGAAUAUUGGACAAAGGGCGCAAGCCUGAUCCAGCCAUACCGCGUGGGUGAAGAAGGCCUUCGGGUUGUAAAGCCCUUUUGUUGGGAAAGAAAAGCAGCAGGUUAAUACCCCGCUGUUCUGACGGUACCCAAAGAAUAAGCACCGGCUAACCUCGUG
rnacentral:rRNA from 1 species